GACGAACGCUGGCGGCGUGCCUAAUACAUGCAAGUGGGACGCAAGGGAACACACUGUGCUUGCACACCGUGUUUUCUUGAGUCGCGAACGGGUGAGUAACGCGUAGGUAACCUGCCUAUUAGCGGGGGAUAACUAUUGGAAACGAUAGCUAAUACCGCAUAAUAUUAAUUAUUGCAUGAUAAUUGAUUGAAAGAUGCAAGCGCAUCACUAGUAGAUGGACCUGCGUUGUAUUAGCUAGUUGGUAAGGUAAGAGCUUACCAAGGCGACGAUACAUAGCCGACCUGAGAGGGUGAUCGGCCACACUGGGACUGAGACACGGCCCAGACUCCUACGGGAGGCAGCAGUAGGGAAUCUUCGGCAAUGGACGAAAGUCUGACCGAGCAACGCCGCGUGAGUGAAGAAGGUUUUCGGAUCGUAAAGCUCUGUUGUAAGUCAAGAACGUGUGUGAGAGUGGAAAGUUCACACAGUGACGGUAGCUUACCAGAAAGGGACGGCUAACUACGUGCCAGCAGCCGCGGUAAUACGUAGGUCCCGAGCGUUGUCCGGAUUUAUUGGGCGUAAAGGGAGCGCAGGCGGUCAGGAAAGUCUGGAGUAAAAGGCUAUGGCUCAACCAUAGUGUGCUCUGGAAACUGUCUGACUUGAGUGCAGAAGGGGAGAGUGGAAUUCCAUGUGUAGCGGUGAAAUGCGUAGAUAUAUGGAGGAACACCAGUGGCGAAAGCGGCUCUCUGGUCUGUCACUGACGCUGAGGCUCGAAAGCGUGGGUAGCGAACAGG
rnacentral:rRNA from 1 species